rnacentral:rRNA from 1 species
AUUGUACGCUGGCGGAAUGCUUUACACAUGCAAGUCGAACGGCAGCACGGACUUCGGUCUGGUGGCGGGUGGCGAACGGGUGAGUAAUGUAUCGGAACGUGCCCAGUCGUGGGGGAUAACGUAGUGAAAAUUACGCUAAUACCGCAUACGAUCUAUGGAUGAAAGCGGGGGAUCGCAAGACCUCGCGCGAUUGGAGCGGCCGAUAUCAGAUUAGGUAGUUGGUGGGGUAAAGGCCCACCAAGCCAACGAUCUGUAGCUGGUCUGAGAGGACGACCAGCCAUACUGGAACUGAGACACGGUCCAGACUCCUACGGGAGGCAGCAGUGGGGAAUUUUGGACAAUGGGCGAAAGCCUGAUCCAGCCAUUCCGCGUGCAGGAUGAAGGCCCUCGGGUUGUAAACUGCUUUUGUACAGAACGAAAAGGUUUCUACUAAUACUAGGAGCUCAUGACGGUACUGUAAGAAUAAGCACCGGCUAACUACGUGCCAGCAGCCGCCGUAA